rnacentral:rRNA from 1 species
AACGAACGCUGGCGGCAUGCCUAACACAUGCAAGUCGAACGAGACCUCCGGGUCUAGUGGCGCACGGGUGCGUAACGCGUGGGAACCUGCCCUUAGGUUCGGAAUAACUCCCCGAAAGGGGUGCUAAUACCGGAUAAUGUCUUCGGACCAAAGAUUUAUCGCCUUUGGAUGGGCCCGCGUUGGAUUAGCUUGUUGGUAGGGUAAAAGCCUACCAAGGCGACGAUCCAUAGCUGGUCUGAGAGGAUGAGCAGCCACACUGGGACUGGGACACGGCCCAGACUCCUGCGGGAGGCAGCAGUGGGGAAUCUUGGACAAUCGGCGGAAGCCUGAUCCAGCACUGCCGCGUGAGUGCUGAAGGCCUUAGGGUUGUAAAGCUCUUUUAUCCGGGAUGAUAAUGACAGUACCGGGAGAAUAAGCACCGGCUAACUCCGUG